AGAGUUUGAUCCUGGCUCAGGAUGAACGCUGGCGGCGUGCCUAACACAUGCAAGUCGAACGGACCCGCUUUUCGGAGUGGGUGAGUGGCGGACGGGUGCGUAACACGUAGGUGACCUGCCCUGGAGUGGGGAAUAAUUCCGCGAAAGCGGGACUAAUACCGCAUGAACUCGACCUGUCGCAGGGUUGAGCAAAGUUCUGAGAGGGACGCUUUGGGAUGGGCCUGCGGCGGAUUAGGUAGUUGGUGGGGUAAAGGCCUACCAAGCCGAUGAUCCGUAGGGGGCGUGAGAGCGUGACCCCCCACAUUGGCACUGAGAUACGGGCCAAACUCCUACGGGAGGCAGCAGUGAGGAAUAUUGCACAAUGGGCGCAAGCCUGAUGCAGCAACGCCGCGUGAGGGACGAAGGCCCUCGGGUCGUAAACCUCUUUUCUGAGGGAAGAGCAAGGACGGUACCUCAGGAAUAAGUCUCGGCUAACUACGUGCCAGCAGCCGCGGUAAAACGUAGGAGGCGAGCGUUAUCCGGAUUUACUGGGCGUAAAGCGCACGCAGGCGGCUUGGUGAGUCGGACGUGAAAGCUCCUGGCUUAACUGGGAGAGGUCGUUCGAUACUGCCGGGCUUGAGGUUGGGAGAGGGGUGUGGAAUUCCCGGUGUAGUGGUGGAAUGCGUAGAUAUCGGGAGGAACACCAGUGGCGAAAGCGGCACCCUGGCCCACACCUGACGCUGAGGUGCGAAAGCGUGGGUAGCAAACAGGAUUAGAUACCCUGGUAGUCCACGCCGUAAACGAUGUCAACUAGGUGUUGGUAGUGUUACACUAUCAGUGCCGUAGCAAACGCGUUAAGUUGACCGCCUGGGGACUACGAGCGCAAGCUUAAAACUCAAAGGAAUUGACGG
rnacentral:rRNA from 1 species